rnacentral:miRNA from 1 species
UGGAAAUGCAAAUCCUAGGGCUCCACCCGGGAAUACUGACUCCAAAACUCUGGGCGUGGAAUCCAGGAAUCUGCAUUUUAACAAAACCACAAUGUGUUCCUGAUGCACCGUGAA